GAACGCACAUUGCACCUAUUAGCAUUCUAGUAGGUAUGCCUGUCCGAGCGUCAUUUCAACCCUCAGGGAGGCUCCGGCCGACUGGUGUUGGGGCCCCGCGGCCGCCGGUCGCGGGCCCCUAAAGUCAUCGGCGGUGCCUGCCAGCACUCCGGGCGCAGUAGCAAUCCUCGCCCAGGACGUCUGGCGGACGCCGGCCGCUAAACGGCCCCCGCGGCACGCACCAAGGUUGACCUCGGAUCAGGUAGGAAUACCCGCUGAACUUAAG
rnacentral:misc_RNA from 1 species